GUGAUCCUCACACUUCAGCCUCCAGAGUAGCUUUGAUGACAGGAUCUUGAGAUGACGUCAUACUGGAUGAUCCUAGUGCACCCUAAAUCCAAUAAGUGUUCUUAUGAAAGACAGAAGAGGAGAAGAUACAGGAAAUAGAAGAAGGCUACUUGAGGAUGGAAGCAGAGAUUGGAGUUAUGCAGCUACAAACCAAAGAAUGCCUUGAGCCACCAGCAGCUGAAAGAGCUAGUCAGCAAUACAACUGGGAUUUGAUAUCAGAUUCAUACGAUUCCGAAGACCCUGACCACCAAAUGCAAAAGGUACAUGGCAACAGCUGAUUGCAAUGAGAGAAAAACAACUAAUAAGGCAACAAGCAGGAUACUAAGAUAUUUUCCAAAAUGAAUAGCACUGAUUCUGUGAGGAAUGAACAUUGCCAAACAAGUGUUUUGUUUUGUUUUUCAACUCCUCUAAAAAAAUUCACAUAUAUGCAUGCCACUUUCCUGAAAAAUAUCUGCCUCAUAAUUGCCAUAAGAAACGGUAUGGACAACUCUUAAACAUUCUGAAAGUAGUCAGGGAUGGGGGAAAGCAUUUGCUGUUUUAGUCUGUUCCUGGUCUUAUAACAAAUACCACAAACUGGGUAAUUUAUGAUUACAGAAAUGUAUUUCUGAAAGUUCAGGAGUUGGGAAGUUCAAGAUUAUGGCACCAACAUAUUCAUUGUCUGAUGAGGGCCUGUUUCACAGAUGUCAUUUUGCAUGACUUAAUCACAUGGUAGGAAAAGCAAAGGGACAAAAUGGACAAAUGCCAUGUUGUCACAUGGCAGAAGAAAUGGAAGAGCCAGGAAGCUCUCAGAAGCUUCCUUAAUUAGGAUAUUAAUCUCAUUCAUGAGUGCAUAGCCAUCAUGACUUAAUUGCCUCCAAAGGCCCCACUUCCUCAUCACUUUGAGGAUUAAACUUAAACAUGAAUUUGGAGGAAAUAUAUCCAAACUCUAGGACUAGUUUAAAUGUAGCUAAAAAGGUUUCUUCAUUCUGUAAUCGUUAAUAUGCUAAUAUUUUUGUAAAUAUCCAAGAGGAAGCUAAAGCAUAUAAUAUUCCAAAAUUUAUUUCUGUUUGUGGAUAUUAUGUUUUCCUCUCAUUCUAUCUUAAGAAAUUAGUGUCCUCAAGAAACACUAUAUAGGAUAAUUGUCUUUCAAGUUCAUCAACUACCAGUUCUUGAUUCUUCAGUAGCUAAUCCUAGAUAGUAAUACUUAACAGAUUAUAAAAACUUGGGUGCUGCUAUAUAAAUGCGCUGAAACUCCCAGGGAACCAAACAUAAGGACUUAAAGAGAGAUGUAACUAGGGAUCAUAAUCAUGAAUUUCAGCUGCUUCUCUAUCUUUGUCAGUGAGCAAAUGACCAUACAAAAUAAGGUAUUCAAUUAUUAAUUCUGUGCCCAUAUCCCGGAAUUUUGCCCAAUAUAUUUGUAAGUUUAGAUAAAUAAGGCACUAAUGCCAGGGAUAUGUAGCAUUAGUUCUGGGUUUAUAAAGGGAUAUUCACAACCUCUUGCCAUCCACAGAAUUUAUCAGCCCAAAGUAAACUAUACUCGUUGGUUAAGGGCAACCUGAGACAUGUUUAAAACUGAGGUGGACUGAAGAGUCAACUAAUUGCAGGAAUCUUUUAUUUGGUUGAAAUGUUCAAACAAGUCCCACUCUGAAUUCUAUUAGAAGUCCAUCAUUGGCUUCUCUCUCUUUCUCACUGUCUUAAAUCAUGUAUUUUAUAACACUAUGAAGAAUGAAGUUCAAAAGAAUAAGCUAAAUUUAAUUAAUUAAAUUAUUUAUUUAUUUAUUUUGAGACAGAGUCUCACUCUGUCACCCAGGCCAGAGUUCAG
rnacentral:lncRNA from 1 species